rnacentral:rRNA from 1 species
AUAUAAUUAGUUAAUUUUUUUGUUGAUUUCUGUUUUUUAAAAUUAAUUUCUUUUUUUUAUUAUUUUUUAGAAAAAUUUAUUAUUUUUAUAGUUAAUUAGUACUGUGAAGGAACUUAUUAUUAUGUUUUAAAGAAAAAUUUAAUUUUUGUACCUUGUGUAUCAGGGUUAAUUAAUUACCAUUAAAAAUUUAAUUUUCCCGAAUUUAGAAGAGCUACUUUUUUAUUAAUUUUAUUGUAGAAUAAAUAUUUAUAAUUAAAAAGUUGAAGUGAAACGUUAUUCGUUUCUAAAUAUAUCUGGUUUUCUGAGAAAAAAUUCAAUUUUUUUGUUAAUAAUAAAUUUAUUUAAUUUUUAAAUUUUUUAUUUUAAUAAUUUAUUUUUUUGGGGAUAAGCUUGAAAAAGUAAAACUACAAUUUUUUAUAAUUUUUGGUUAAUUAGGAUUAAAAGCUUCCAAGUUUAGAAGAAUGUUAUAUUUGAUUUAAUUUUAUUUUAAAUUUUUAUUUUAUUUAGUUUUUUUAUUGGAAUAAUUAGAUUAAUAAAAUUUUUAUUGAAAUAAUGAUUAAAUUAGUAUAUAAAUUGAUUUAUAGUUUAGAUUAAAAAAAGGAAUUCGGCAAAUAAAUUUUUCACCUGUUUAUUAAAAACAUGGCCUUUUGAUAACAAUUUAAGGUCUGACCUGCCCUAUGAGUUUUAAAUGGCCGCGGUAUUUUGACCGUGCAAAGGUAGCAUAAUAAUUAGUUUCUUAAUUAGAAGCUGGAAUGAAAGGUUGAAUGAGAAAAUUUCUGUCUCUUUUUAAUUUAAUAGAAUUUUAUUUUUGAGUUAAAAAGCUUAAAUUUCAUUAAAAGACGAGAAGACCCUAUAGAGUUUUAUUUCUAUUUUAGUUUGUUAAUUUUUUUUAGUAUUAAAAAUUAGAAUUAUAAUAAAAAUUUGAUUGGGGCGAUUAAAAAAUUAAAUUAACUUUUUUUCAUUAAAACAUUUAUUUAUGAAAAUUUGAUCCAUUAUUUAUGAUUAAAAGAAUAAAUUACCUUAGGGAUAACAGCGUAAUCUUUCUGGAGAGUACAAAUUGAAAGGAGGGUUUGCGACCUCGAUGUUGGAUUAAAAUUAAAUUUUGGUGCAGAAGCUAAAAUGUUAGGUCUGUUCGACCUUUAAAAUUUUACAUGAUCUGAGUUUAAACCGGCGUGAGCCAGGUUGGUUUCUAUCUUUAAUAAAAGUAAAUAUUUUAGUACGAAAGGACCAAAUAUUAAAUAAUUUAUUUAAAAUUAGAAUAUUAAU